rnacentral:lncRNA from 1 species
AGCUACAUCCGUCACCUGACACGGCCCUACCAGGAACAGCCGCGCUCCCGCGGAUUCUGGUGCUGCUCGCGUCCCCGCUCCCCUAUUCCCCUUAUUUUAUUCCUGGCUCCCCUCGUCGAAAGUCUUCCAUUCUUCAAACUAGAUUAUUUAAAAAUGAAAAAGGAAGAAAGGAAAGCGAGGUCAUCUCAUUGCUCUAUCCGCCAAUCAGGAGGCUGAAUGUCAGUUUUGAACUAAAAGCCGCUCCGCUCCUCUUCUAGAUUUGGAAAACAAGCGAAAUUAAACUAAACCGCUGCACGCCUCUGACGCGACAUCUGGACACGGCGCGGCGCUGGCGCUGCCGGAGCUGUCGACCCGGCCUGGCGCCGGACUAGGACUAUUUGCCACGACAUUUCAAAGGAUUCCAAGAGAGAAUAUUGGUGUCCAUGCUGUGAUGAUUCCUCAGCUCCUCUCAUCUGAUCUCCGUCCUGGCCCCCAUGACUUUCUUUGUGGUAGUUAGGGUGUGGUAUGUGCCACUGAGGCCCACACCUAUUGCUUGUCCCUUUUGAUGAGAAGAAUAAGCCUCAUUCUGAUUCAACAGCAGAGAUCAAAGAAAAGACUUCUGUUUUCUGGCCACCAGAUAUAUGUUAUCUGUGCUUAAAGAAUUGAAAAACACACAUCAAAGGAGAAUUUUCUUGGAAAGAGAGGGUUCAAGCAUCACUGUUAGGUGUGCUGGAAUCCUUUCCCGAGUCAGUACUGCUUUCUAGAAGAAAACCGGGGAGAUCUAUUUGGAAUGUAUCUAACUCCAAAGAAACCAUCAGAGGUAACAGGUACCAGAGAUAUAAUAAUGAGAAACAGACAUGCUCCCUCCCCUCAUUGAGGUUACAGCUUAGUGUGGAGACACACAGAUGCCUAACGCACUAUGGUAUGGAAGGUGCUAUGGACACAGUGCUCAAAUCCAUGAUCUACAUAGGUGGAGAACUUCAGUAGAGGAAGUGGCAGGAAUUUGGGAAUGAGGAGCACAGUGAUUAAACUGGGGCCAUUCAUAUGAGAGUUUAAGAACUCAGACCAGUGACUUAGAUUGGCUUCUCUCACAUGGCAAGAAACAUUGCUGCUAGCACUUCCCGAGUUCUACGUUCUACAACAUCCACCACUGGAUCUUAACAUAGACGUAAGAUCAAAUGCAAUAGCAUGUCAAACAAUGUGUAACUCCAGUUAUACAAACAUUACUGUAUCUCAUUGGGGAUACGAAGCUCUACACACUUGAAGAUGGUGAAGGAAUAUAAAAAUCUAUGUCUCACAGUCCAGACUUGGAGUACAAGUAAUAAGAAGAAUAAAACUUAAUCCCUUAAGUAGAUUCACCAUAAGUUAGCUCAGAGCAAUUCCAGUGCAAGUAUGGUCUGUGAUCCAGUAGUAUCUUACAGACAGCAAGUUGAACAUUGUGGGAUGCAUGAGCUAUUGAGGCCUUUGCAGCUUUCUGCUACAUGGAGGCUAGGGCCAGAGUCAAGAUUUAUGCUUUGCAGCACACUGGUCAGCUGUUUUUGCAAAUCAGAUUAAAUGAUUUUUAAAUGAGGCUGAGAGCAUGGGAGAUACUAAUGUGUGUUUCCUUGUGAGCUACUGCAUAAGUUAGGAAAUUGAAAUACAGAAAGAUGAAAAGUGAUUUGCCCAAGCAUAUAGAUCAAAGCUGUGGCAGAACCAGGACUGGAACCUAUAUCUCUCUACUAAUGGUUUUUUUAAAAAAAUAACCUUGUUUCAAAAAUAUUAAAAAGUCACAAGAAAGGUAAACAUGUGGAUAAACAAAAUGAAGAAAAUAAAAAUUAUCCAGUAAUAACAUA